rnacentral:rRNA from 1 species
GAGUUUGAUUAUGGCUCAGGACGAACGCUGGCGGCGUGCCUAACACAUGCAAGUCGAGCGGUCUCGCCUAUAGCAAAAGGCCUUCGGGCUUCGAGCAAAGGCGAGAUAGCGGCGGACGGGUGAGUAACGCGUGGCUUAUCUGUCCCAGGGGAGGGGGAUAACGUCUGGAAACGGGCGCUAAUACCCCAUAUGCCGGUGAGGUAAAAAGGAGAAAUCCGCCCUGGGGUGAGGCCGCGUCCUAUCAGCUAGUUGGUGAGGUAACGGCCCACCAAGGCUAUGACGGGUAGCCGGCCUGAGAGGGCGGCUGGCCACACUGGGAUUGAGAUACGGCCCAGACUCCUACGGGAGGCAGCAGUGGGGAAUAUUGGGCAAUGGGGGAAACCCUGACCCAGCGACGCCGCGUGGAGGAAGGAGCCCUUCGGGGUGUAAACUCCUGUUGUAAGGGAAGAAGACAGUGACGGUACCUUACGAGGAAGCCCCGGCAAACUACGUGCCAGCAGCCGCGGUAACACGUAGGGGGCGAGCGUUGUCCGGAAUCACUGGGCGUAAAGCGCACGCAGGCGGAUGCGCGCGUCGGCUGUGAAAUGCACCGGCUCAACCGGUGCACUGCGGUCGAUACGGCGCGUCUGGAGUGCGGGAGAGGGAAGCGGAAUUCCCGGUGUAGCGGUGAAAUGCGUAGAUAUCGGGAGGAACGCCGGUGGCGAAGGCGGCUUCCUGGCCCGCAACUGACGCUCAUGUGCGAAAGCCAGGGGAGCGAACCGGAUUAGAUACCCUGGUAGUC